GUGCUGGGAUUACAAGCGUGAGCCACCAUGCCCGGCCCAAAGAGGAGAAGAAAUAUUAAGUGCUUGCUUGGACCUUUUUACUAUGCUUAUUAUUCUGUCUUCUCAUGGCAAGGAUGGGGUCAUGCUUUGUUGUCCAGGCUGGUCUCGAACUCCUGGAAUCAAGGAACCCUCCCACCUCAGCCUCCGAAAGUUCUGGGAUUACAGGCAUAAUCCAUCCUGCCUGGCGAAGAAUCUUUAAUGCUCUGCUCAGGCAACUCUUCCUCUGAGGAUCCUUCCAGAGACAAUUCAAGAAUUAGCAGCUCAAUUCCCAGGGUCCCUUAGACCUUCAACCUGCUUGUGGGCAAUUUGGAAACAAGGAUUGUGCCUGAAUCACCUUUGCAUUCUUAGCAUCGUUUUUCCUGGAUAAUAAUUUGUUCAAUAUAUGUUCAAUAAUUGUUCAAUUAUUCAAUAACAAAUGUUCAAUAAAUGUGUUUUAAAUGAAUGACCACAGCUCCUAUAGCAGGUAGCUGACUUUGUGUCUCCUCAACCAAUCUCUGAGCUCUUUGAAAGCAAAGCCUAUUUUGUUUGAAUGUAUAUUUAUCAUCCCAGUUUCUGGUACAGGGUAGGGAACUAAUGCAUAUGUGAUGAAACAAUCAAUGCCUUAGUGCUUAUGAAGAAUAUCACUGUGUUACACAGAAGCAUGGAAUGACUAAUGUUAAGCUAAACUCAAGUUACUUAGGGAAUAUUAACUUGCAUUUAUUAUACUCUGGGGGAAAAACACAUAUAUGUGUAUAUAUGUAUAACAUAUAUAUGUAUACACAUAUCAGAAUUUGUAUAUGAGAAUG
rnacentral:lncRNA from 1 species